rnacentral:rRNA from 1 species
CUUUUGGGUGUGACUGCGUACCUUUUGUAUAAUGGGUCAGCGACUUAUAUUCUGUAGCAAGGUUAACCGAAUAGGGGAGCCGGAGGGAAACCGAGUCUUAAUUGGGCGUUAAGUUGCAGGGUAUAGACCCGAAACCCGGUGAUCUAGCCAUGGGCAGGUUGAAGGUUGGGUAACACUAACUGGAGGACCGAACCGACUAAUGUUGAAAAAUUAGCGGAUGACCUGUGGCUGGGGGUGAAAGGCCAAUCAAACCGGGAGAUAGCUGGUUCUCCCCGAAAGCUAUUUAGGUAGCGCCUCGUGAAUUCAUCUCCGGGGGUAGAGCACUGUUUCGGCUAGGGGGCCAUCCCGGCUUACCAACCCGAUGCAAACUGCGAAUACCGGAGAAUGUUAUCACGGGAGACACACGGCGGGUGCUAACGUCCGUCGUGAAGAGGGAAACAACCCAGACCGCCAGCUAAGGUCCCAAAGUCAUGGUUAAGUGGGAAACGAUGUGGGAAGGCCCAGACAGCCAGGAUGUUGGCUUAGAAGCAGCCAUCAUUUAAAGAAAGCGUAAUAGCUCACUGGUCGAGUCGGCCUGCGCGGAAGAUGUAACGGGGCUAAACCAUGCACCGAAGCUGCGGCAGCGACACUCAGGUGUUGUUGGGUAGGGGAGCGUUCUGUAAGCCUGUGAAGGUGUGUCGUGAGGCAUGC